GGGGGUGGGGCUCAGUGGUAGAGCACUUGUCUAGCGUGUAGCAGGCCCUGGGUUCCAUUCCCAGCACUGCAA
rnacentral:tRNA from 1 species